rnacentral:rRNA from 1 species
GUGUCAGCAGCCGCGGUAAUACGGAGGGUGCAAGCGUUAAUCGGAAUUACUGGGCGUAAAGCGCACGCAGGCGGUCUGUCAAGUCGGAUGUGAAAUCCCCGGGCUCAACCUGGGAACUGCAUUCGAAACUGGCAGGCUAGAGUCUUGUAGAGGGGGGUAGAAUUCCAGGUGUAGCGGUGAAAUGCGUAGAGAUCUGGAGGAAUACCGGUGGCGAAGGCGGCCCCCUGGACAAAGACUGACGCUCAGGUGCGAAAGCGUGGGGAGCAAAC